AUGCUGCUGGAGAAACUGCAGAACAGCACGGGAGGUCACCAGGCUGCAGCAAGAGAAGAGCAGUCUCUGAGUAGGUUAAAAAAUUACCGAGUGCCAAAUGUGAGAAAGCAGUGUCCCGUAGAAGCCGGGAGCGUCGUUAGCGCCCACCCCCCGCAGCUGUCCCCCGGGAAGGGCGGGAGGGGCCUGCGGCGCCAAUGGGAAAGCAGCUCGGCCGCGGCGGCCACAGGUGCGGGCCCUCAGCGGCGCAGAAGCUUCCAGCAAGGGCUGCACGUGGGGGCCGCGGAAUGGCGGCCGCGCGGAGCCAGGGAGCUGCCGCUUUCUAAGCGCCUUUUGGCUUGGCCGGCCGAGCACCCAGCACUGAGUGCCAUUUGGCAGAUUUUAAAGGCUGAUGAUGUUUUCAGAAAAGGCUCAUGUUUCAUAUAUCAGAGCUGGAUCCUGAUGAUAAUGAACUUCCAAGGUCUGUUUUCCUACAGCUGGCAGUGUCAUGCUAAAUGGACUGCAACAAGAAACAUUGCUGUGCCGGAGCUGUGCUGGAGCCAGAUCAUAAUUUGCAAAUGUGUUUUUUGGGAGCUGCUGAAAUUUCUCACCACCUCCUUGCGGGGAGAGCAGAACAGUGCAGAACACUUCCCACUGCUGAGAUCUGAGUGAGAAUUUCUCAGGCUGAUCUUCUUGACAGUGACCAGUAAAGCAUAAACCAAGGCUUUCAACAAAGACUGAGGAAUUUGGGGUACAGCAGUUUCCUUUUGUUCUCUAAUGGGCAUUUGCAUACAACCUGAUGUUUCAGAAAAACAGAAUAUCUGCCUUCUAAAGAUAAACCUCGCCUUGGGUAUCUCAGGUUACCAAGGAAUGUGUCUCCAAAAUCACUAGUAACAUGAUGACUAAAUUACUGGAUUAUUUAGAACUUUCUCAGCCAGGGAUGUGUGUGUGUAUAUUUUAUAUAACGACACCUUGUUCACAACAAGUCUUCCUGUUAGAAAAAAUUAAGGAGAGCAGAAAUGGUGAAGAGUAGAAGUAGGGCGACAGAAAGAUCAGAGCACUGAUAUAAGGUGAUUAAUAACUGAAUGAGAUGCAUCAAACUGAGUGGAGCUCAGGAGCUUCAUUAUGAGAUAAUGCUUGCUGUCACAAGUCAGUGAAAACUGAAUGCAGACCACAGGUGCUCAGUAAUACUGCAGCCUUAGCUUGAGUUCCUGUAUGAUACAGAAAGGAUGGAGAGACUGAUCCACCAUUUGUUUAAUUGGCAGUCAUUAUAGGAGGUUGGGUUUCUGCAGCAGUAAGUAGAAUCCUGCAAGCCAUUUGGACAUGAGCGCCUCAAAUUGUUUUGGAGGCAGUCUGGUUAUCUGGACUGUCAUUCCUUUUUGUACUAAUGUAAUGCUUCAAGUCUUCCACAUUUUCCACUUUUUUUCAAAAAGGAAACAAAAAAAAAAAGCUUUAAGCAGAAGGUAACAACUUGAUUUUGUCCCGUGAUAUUAGGAAAGCAAUGGAAAUGACAACAUUCUUAAGUGAAGUAAUAAAAUUAGCAUAUUCUUUCUGCA
rnacentral:lncRNA from 1 species